GGCUAGAAGGCAAAAUAGAGGAGGACAUCUAAAGCCCCCUAGAGAAUCAUAAGGACCCUAUAGCCCUCAAGAUGGUUUAGCAGCUUUGAGGAGCUGUUGUAUGGUUCUACUUGUGGUAUUUUGAACAGAGGUGAGAUCAGUUCCUCCAGUAUCCUUUGGGAGAAAGGUGGGUGCAAACUAAAGUUGAGGGAGUCAUCAUGCUUUCGAUCUUCCUCCCAAAACAUCUUCAACUUUUGCUCGAUCUCUUGGAUGUUCCACUAAAGAUAAUCCUUGUGCUAAGACCCACUGAGGCAUGGAGAGUAUCCUGGAGUC
rnacentral:lncRNA from 1 species